GUAAAAUGUUGUUCAGGAGAAAGCACUGCCUUUUACUGCCCUGUACCUUAUUCUAUCCAUUCAGGUACAGAAACAGUACAGAAACACCUGCUGCUGCUCUAACAGCAGUGAAGAUGAUCUACUUUUUCCGUGAAGUCCUCCACAUAGAGAUGAAGAUCCUUAGGUGGGAGCCUACAGCAUCAGAACUCCUUUGGCCCAGUGCUGAUGACCCCAAGGACUGCCAAGGAAAGGACUCCCCUGUGAGCAGAAUAUGAGACACCAAGAGCACAGCUAACAAACUGCAACGCCAAUGCAGAGGUCUGAUGGAGAUCAUUAAUUCACUGCUAAAGCUAUGGUUCCUAUAAAGAACAAAGCAUCAGGCUUCUCCACAUGCAAAGACAAAAUCUCCCCAGCAAUACAGAACUCUGUGCCUCAUCUUGUUCAGAAGAGCAUUUGUGGAGGGAGGGAGGAAUGAAGCAAUCCGUCCCCAGCCACACUUCUCUUGACACAGCCUCUUAUGCAGCUCUGCACGUGUGCACUGAGUGUCACUCCUGCAUCGGGACACGCUCGCUUGUUUUUCUGAAUCUGUACCACUACGUUGCCCAGCACGAGACAAAGGAAUGCCAUUUUAACACUGACGAAGCCUGUGGUGACAUGAGUGCCACAGGUAUCUGGCAUCAGCUUGCAGAAUUUGGGGUCCCCUGGUGUGCAGCAGUUCUGAGCAGAGCAACACUCCUGCUGUAACCGGGGCACCCUGAGGAGCACGGAGCUGUGUGCAGGGCUCUGAAAAGGCAUUUCCGUGGGAGACGAC
rnacentral:lncRNA from 1 species